GCGGAGGAAAAGAAAAUAACAAUGAUUUCCCUAGUAACGGCGAGUGAAGAGGAAAGAGCUCAAAGUUGGAACCUGUUUGGCUUAGCUAAACCGGAUUGUAAACUGUAGAAGUGUUUUCCUGACACGCCUGGUAAAAAAGUCCUUUGGAACAGGGCAUCAUAGAGGGUGAGAAUCCCGUGUUUGGCCAGAGCUGUUGUCUUUUGUGAUACAUUUUCAAAGAGUCAGGUUGUUUGGGAAUGCAGCCUAAAUUGGGUGGUAAAUCUCACCUAAAGCUAAAUAUUUGCGAGAGACCGAUAGCGAACAAGUACCGUGAGGGAAAGAUGAAAAGAACUUUGAAAAGAGAGUUAAACAGUAUGUGAAAUUGUUAAAAGGGAACCGUUUGGAGCCAGACUGGCUUGACUGUAAUCAAUCUAGGCUUCGGCCUGGAUGCACUUGCGGUUUAUGCCUGCCAACGACAAUUUUUUUUGAGGGAAAAAACUAUUAGGAAUGUGGCCCCUCUCGGGGGGUGUUAUAGCCUUUUAGAAAAUACCUUGAAUUGGAUUGAGGAACGCAGUGAAUGCCUUUAGGCAAGAUUGCUGGGUGCUUUCGUUAAUAAAUGCUAGAAUUUCUGCUUCGGGUGGUGUUAGUGUUUAAAGAUGGAACUCGCCUAGUAUAUUUUUUAUUCGCUUAGGUUGUUGGCUUAAUGACUCUAAAUGAC
rnacentral:rRNA from 1 species